GAAUUAAGUCCAAAAAAAUACGCUUCGAACUUUACCUUUGAUCUAAAGGAUGGAAAAGGAUAAGGACCUUUUGAGAUAAUAACAAAUUUUAGAGUAACUAAACUUCGACACCCCGCACUAUUUUCCUGUCCCAACAUUUUACUUGCAUUGUUGCCGUAGAAAACGCAUAAGCGGCAAUAACACAUAAUCAUAGGAGCUUUCAAAUUUUGCUGGAAACACUUUGGAUUGCGUGUGUCUGUGUCGGUAAGGCACAGCUGUUGCCAGUAAAAAGUAUCCGGUGGAUUGCAGAGCUUCAUACGUGAUAACUUCCUUUGGCAAAAUCUCUUUCAAUCACACUUUGACA